UACGAAGGGGGCUAGCGUUGUUCGGAAUUACUGGGCGUAAAGGGCGCGUAGGCUGUGCUGUAAGUCAGGCGUGAAAGCCCCGGGCUCAACCUGGGAAUUGCGCUUGAUACUGCGGCGCUGGAAGGUGGGAGAGGAUGGCGGAAUUCCCAGUGUAGAGGUGAAAUUCGUAGAUAUUGGGAAGAACACCGGUGGCGAAGGCGGCCAUCUGGCCCAGCAAUU
rnacentral:rRNA from 1 species